rnacentral:pre_miRNA from 1 species
CCCUUAACUGUUAAAAGUUUCGUUUUGGUCCUUUAACUUACUUUUUGGUUUCGUUUUGGUCCCUUAACUCUUCCUCCGUCAACCACUUUGGUCGUUUAUGUUAGGAUGAAUGUAUUAGAGUUAAGGGACCAAAAUGAAAUCAAAAAAUAAGUUAAGGGACCAAAACGAAACCAAAAAAUAAGUUAAGGGACCAAAACGAAACUUUUAAUAGUUAAGGGACCAAAAGAAAACCCAAAAAUAAGUUAUUGGACCGAAACGAAACUUUUAAUAGUUAAGGAA